rnacentral:lncRNA from 1 species
UUGUUUUAGUGUCAUGACUUGUAAAACCAAGUUAUUUACUCUUUUUACGAAGUUAAUGAGUCGUCAUAUCAUCAUUGUUCUUCUAAUAAUCAGAGAAACACAAAACGAAAGCAAAGAGAAAUUAAAAGCAUGAAGAAAUGAAGUUUCCUUUGUUACUUAUUCGCAAGAGUCUGCUGAAGAAUUUUUCCAUUAGACAGACAGAGACAGGU